rnacentral:rRNA from 1 species
UACGUAGGGUGCAAGCGUUGUCCGGAAUUAUUGGGCGUAAAGAGCUCGUAGGCGGUUCGUCGCGUCGGAUGUGAAAUCCCUCGGCUCAACCAAGGAAGUGCAUCCGAAACUGCUGAGCUUGAGUACUUAAGAGGAUCGCGGAAUUCCCGGUGUAGAGGUGAAAUUCGUAGAUAUCGGGAGGAACACCAGUGGCGAAGGCGGCGAUCUGGGAAGAUACUGACGCUGAGGUGCGAAAGCGUGGGGAGCAAACAGG